CAGGCUGNAACCCGCCUGCAUGAAGUCGGAAUUGCUAGUAAUCGCGGAUCAGCAUGCCGCGGUGAAUACGUUCCCGGGCCUUGUACACACCGCCCGUCACACCAUGGGAGCCGGUAAUACCCGAAGCCAGUAGUCCAACCUCGUGAGGACGCUGCCGAAGGUAGGAUUGGCGACUGGGUGAAGUCGUAACAAGGUAUC
rnacentral:rRNA from 1 species